rnacentral:lncRNA from 1 species
UUUUAUUUGUUUAAUUUAUUUUUCAUUGAUAUGUCACAUUAAAUUUGUUCAUGAUCCAUGGGUAAAGUAUACCCAAACCAUUAUGAAAUAAUUUUUUACAUAAAAAUUCAAAUUUAACCCAUUUUAUGAUCUAUCCAACCCAAACUAUUUUAUUUGGUUUGAGUUUUAGUAAACCCAUGGGUUGUGGGUUAAUGCCUACCCCUACUCAUCGCGUACAACCAUCCUACAUCAUGCUGGGGCUCAAAUUCAGCUUCAAUACUCUCAUUGUCAUUAUACAUAACACUACAAAAUACAACUGAUUAUAGAUUCAGAUAUAAGAAUGGGGAUAAUUAAUAAUUAUAAAAACAGUUUCCCGUACCUUUUGUAAGAAGAUAUCAUCAAUCACUACUAACAACUUCACUUGGCUAUCAAUUACUGAUGUCUAAAGCCAACUGACACAGUAAUAUCCUGCAAAUCAAAGAAGACAAAAGAUAGCAGAAAAGAGUAAAUAAAAAAAAAGGGAGAAAGAGGAGAAAAGAAAUGAACAUGAAGCUUACAUGACUAGAAACAUGAAAUGAGAAAAAUUAUCUGACUAUAAAUAAUUAGAUGGCAGAAAAUUGAGAUUACGAAAACAUGGUUGGUGUGUAGUAACAACAGCUUUGUCUGUACAGUCAGGGCAAGCAUUUUGUUACAUCUUUAAUCUUUACUUGUUAUAAAGUGCUUGACCGAAAAAUUUAAGCCAAUAUUAAGAUCAAGGUAGAGAUUGAACAUGAAAUUUAAUUUGUUAGAGCAUUCAUUCAACCCAAAAGCAUAAACUUAUAGCGUAAGAGUCUAAAAUUAGGAUUAAGGAGGCAAAUUUUAGCACAAUUUAUGGAUUAUAUUUUAAUUUUUUAAGGAACUUUCCCAUAUAAUUAAGCUUUUUGAGAUACAUCAUGUGUUGUUCUUGUGCCAUCUAAAUUGUAGUUGCUGUGUUAAGUUUUUUACCUGUUGACCAAGUAAAAUCAGACCAGAACCAUUCCGCAAAAAUUGUGAAAACGAUUAUAUAAUUAGUAAAUGAGAAGAAAAAUGAUAAAUAUAUUAAUUAAUUCCAGUCUAUGAGCAAUUUUCUGACUUUCUAAGAAAACACAGAUCAAAUAUCUGUCUAAAAGAACUUUGGAUAAAAUGUUUUACCCCUAGAAAACAGAGUACACAUUAAUAGUUUUCGCUCGUUUUAUCAGCAUACUAUUACACCAAAAAAAAAAAUUAAUAAUAAUAAUAAUAAAAGAAUUUUUUUUUAAAGAAAACUCAAAAAAAUUAUUAAUGAAGAAGAUUUAAAAUAUAUUGUGGACUAGCCGUCCACCAGGAAAAAAAUAACUAGGAUCAUUUGUGCUAUACAAAAGUAUAGCCAAUCACUCUUAUAUAAGGCUAGAAUGAGCUAUAACUCUUAUCUCAAAACCCUAUCCCAGUCUAGAUGAGUGAAGAAAAAAUAUGAAUUACAUAAACAAGUUUUUAUGAGAUUAAAAAGACUCCUCAUACGUCAUUGCUUUAAAAUUUCAUAUAAAAAUGUAGCUCAAGAACCAUCGAAGGAUCAUAAUUUGAUACAACAUUGAGCUGAGCAAAUACUAAAGCAACCAAAAAAAAAAAAGCAAUGUACAAUUUCCAAUCAAGAAAAUUUUAUGGGAGAAAGUGAUUCAAUUGAUAAGGGUUAUAUACACUACUAACUAUUAAUAAUUAAGUUCUUGGCCAAAUUCAAUGCAACAACUUUAUCAUUUUCACUUCCUUUUUUUCCUUUUUUUUUCAUGUGAACCCGUGGGUAGCUAGUAAGAGAUUAGAGAUUAGUAUUUGACAAAGAAUAAUAUGAUAGGUUUUAAAUUGGUGUUACUACUUACUAGGCCACUAGUAAAGUCUUUCAAUCUAAUUCUUCUACGUUCAAUAUUAUCAUGUUUCUAAAGUUUAGUGGUUAGGACCAAACCUCACAAUUGUAAACUCAGGGGUUCGAGUCCCCACAAUGCAUUGUAGGAGUUUAAUUUCUUUUUUUUUUAAUUUAAGUGAAAACAAUCAAUUUUUUCCCUUUCGACAUGUGAAUGACUGUAGACUGAUUUGUAAAUAUAAGUUGUAAUUUCAUGUAAUAUGAGUUGUACUCUUGAGUAAUAGUUUCAUGUAAUAAAAAAAAAUUAUUAUCAUGUCAGUCACUUUUUGUAAUUACCCAUAACACUAUAAUUUCAGCUCUAAUUGAGGAAUAUCAAGGAUGAAUGCGUAAGAACAGUUUCACAUAACUUCUAUAAGGAGAUAUCCUCAGUCAGUCCAGAAAUUCAUAUGGCUGCCAAUUAAAAAAUUUAUAAAAGCCAAAAGCCAGAGGAAUUUAGAUACAGUAACAACAUCAUGCAAAUGAAAGGGAACCCCAGAUAUCAGAGAAAUACAAAUAAAUGAAAUGAAAUGAAAAUAAAAACUAGGAGAUAAGAAAGAAAAGAUGCCAGACUUAGAUGGUUGAAAAUUGUGAAAAAGAGUUCAUGAUCAGCAUAAUGUUCACAGGUUGGAUCAUCAAGCUGUAAGUCCUAUCAAUUUACUUUUUCUUUUCCUUGGUUUUUUCAUGUCAAACCUGUGGGUAGCAGCUAGAGAUCUAGACUAGCAUAUGACAGAGAAUGGUUUGGACAACUAAACAAGCUUUUCAAUCUAACUCUACCACAUUCUAUAUCAUCAAGCUUUCUAUGAAAAGAGGUCCUAAAAUGGCAUGUGAGGAGAGUAGAAUAUAUCACAAGUAUUCUCAUAUUUCCUAAAGCAACAACUUGUCAUGGCUCAAAUUAAGCUUCAGUUUCUCGUUGUCUAAUUGAAGGAUUACGGUAAUUACUACCUAAGAACAGUUCGUAUGGAGAUAUCCUGAAUCACUGCUGAGAACUUCACUUGGCAAUCUUACAAAUAUAUAAAGCCAACUGCCGCAGGCUUUUGUAUUAUCCUGCAAAGAAAGAGGACACAAGAUAGCAGAAAAAAGUAAGUGGACAAAAAGGAAAAAAGAGAACAACUAGGUGAAAUGACUAGAAAUAUGAAAUGAGAAAAAUUUUCUGACCAUUAAACAUUAGAUGGUACAAAGUUGAGAAUAAGAAAACAUGGACGGUGUACUACAUACAACAGCUGUAUCUUUACAGCUAAGCAAAGUUUGUUGUUACAUGUCUUAAGUUCAUAUAUUUCUCUACUUCUUAGAUGAAGCACUUGAUCAAAAAGUUUAAGCCAACAAUAGAGUUUGUGGGGGUUCCAAUAGAAACAUAGAUCCAACUUUUGAAGGUCAUAACCUAAUAAACGAAGACAGAGACCCAGAAAUAGGAUAGGAUUGAAACAGAAGCUUGAAAUUAAAUAGGCCACGAUUCAAACAAAACAUGAAUUGAGACAAAGUAAACACAGGGUUUGAUCCACGAUAUUUGACUUGCUAGAGAAACCAUUCAACCCUAAAGCAUAAACUUAUGAGGUAAGAGUCCAACGGUUAGCAUUAAAGACAAGUCUUAACACAAUUAGUGAAUUAAAUUUUAUUUUUGAAGAUACUUGAGAUGUAACCUGAAACAUAAUGAAUCUAACAAAGAAUUUGAUAGAUUUAAAGAAAAACUUGAUUGGUCGUACAGAUACUUCCAGGCUGCCAGCUUUUCAUAGGAAGUUAAACAGCUGCACGGUUGCACUUUCAAUUUUUAUUCAAAAAUGAAAGGUGCGGAAAUAAACCCAUUAAUUGAAUCAUAAACAUCAAUAGCUUUAGUCACAAAAAAGGAAGUUCAAGGAUGAUAGAUAAUCAUUACCAAACUGAAGAAUGCUAUACUUGGAAGGAGCUUCAGCAUGUACCAGAUGAUGUUUAGGACUUGGCAAGGCUUCUGAUCAGAAUCUGCCAAGUCAAACUUCUUGAUGAUUAAGAUGAAAAACUUCCAUUCCAAGCUAACAGAUGCACGCAGCAAUAAGCUCCUUAUCUUUGCUUUCACCAUGAAAUUUGAGAAGCUAAAGGAAAGGAAAAUGCAAAAGUUAGAAGAAAUUAUAAAAUUGUAGAAAGAUAAAAGAAGAAGCUACAAAAUAUAUAAUGAUCAGAAUAAAAGCAGUGUUGUAUUACCAAUCAAUUCCAUUCCACUAGCUGCCUUCAUCUUCAUCUUUAGUUGAUGCUCCAUCAAAAUUUUAUUUUAAUGGAACACAGAGCAUUAAGAAAUACAGAGCAACAGGGGGCAACGGUUAAUUAAAUACCAUCUGGGGCCUUUGCAAAUUUGAA